AUUGAACGCUGGCGGCAUGCUUUACACAUGCAAGUCGAACGGUAACAGGCCGCAAGGUGCUGACGAGUGGCGAACGGGUGAGUAAUGCAUCGGAACGUGCCCAGUCGUGGGGGAUAACUACUCGAAAGAGUAGCUAAUACCGCAUACGAUCUAUGGAUGAAAGCGGGGGACCGUAAGGCCUCGCGCGAUUGGAGCGGCCGAUGUCAGAUUAGGUAGUUGGUGGGGUAAAGGCUCACCAAGCCAAUGAUCUGUAGCUGGUCUGAGAGGACGACCAGCCACACUGGGACUGAGACACGGCCCAGACUCCUACGGGAGGCAGCAGUGGGGAAUUUUGGACAAUGGGCGCAAGCCUGAUCCAGCAAUGCCGCGUGCAGGAAGAAGGCCUUCGGGUUGUAAACUGCUUUUGUACGGAACGAAACGGCUCUGGUUAAUACCCGGGGCUAAUGACGGUACCGUAAGAAUAGGCACCGGCUAACUACGUG
rnacentral:rRNA from 1 species